GUGCCGUCACGGUGCAGCUUGCCGGCAACACCUGGCUUGCCGGCAGUUGUCGAGCGCGUGGAAAAAGCUCCUCAACAGCGUACGUCCGCUUCAGCACCGGAGCCGAGGCUGGCUCAACAAGCAGCAGUGCUGUCUCCUCAACGCGAGCGUCAGCCGUUGCUGUCCUCAACGGCGGCACCACUGCACUGGAUGACACGCGAGAAGUGCUGCGGAGCACCAGAACGACAAUAUUUCUCAUUUCAAUGUAAAAGGAAAUGAAAGCUCGACUUGCACAGAAAGGCGGAAUAAGGUUUUCUUGCAACGGAGGAGCAGGUGGAAUUCAUGGACAUGCCAGGACAAGCCGGUGGAGUUUCCGGGUUUUACCUUUGGUCACUAUUUUUCUACCCAUGCUGGCGCCUUGGGCAUUAUGAGAUUGAGCCGAAAUAGUGAAAAACCAUUGGCUGUCAACAAUGACAGUGAUAUGUGGCUGUAUGCUCUUGACUCUGGAGUGAAGAUAACCAUGUUAGACGCAACCUGGUGUGUCCUUCCGAAACGAGCUGCAUUUUACAUCUGCCGAGGAGUGCCUUAUGCCCUAAAAAAUCUGAGCCUGACAACCUGCAACAUCCUUUAUAUUCUCACAGAGGGGUGGAAGCCUGAUCGAGUGUCAUAGUCUUUUUUUUUCGCGAAAUUUUUUGCGUCCUUUAAAAUUUUUUUGAAGUCACAAUUGUAAGAGACUUUUAAAGGUUUUUCUUUGUGUCACGAGGUUGUUCACAUUUAAUUUCAAUAAUUGACAACCUUUUAUUUAUAAAGACAUGUUCAAGUUAACAUUUCCAUGGGCCGAAUGUUCGAAUUCGCAUUCCAUGUACACACCUCUCACUGUACAAAGUUUGGCUAAUGUUUGAUGUUUUAUUAGAGUUGUAUAAUGCCUGAAUUUUCAGCGUCAUGUUGUAUGUACAGUGUUGCACUAAUUACUUUGAAAAAAAUAUAUUUUUUGCAAUGUAUGCCCUCUUCACAAAAAGCCUGGCCUAUAGUUAGAGGCUGCGUCCUAUUUGGAGUGCAUUCUUAUGUUAUUUGUGCUUGCUAUUGGACCUGGCAUGCUUCAGCAGCAAUGAAAGUGAGGAAGUAAAAGUAGCGGACAUUUUAAAUUGCUUCAGAAAUACCACUCUGUAUGCGACACCUGAGGUUGACAAGUCUCAGCAGCAGGUGUCUGGCACAAAGCACGUAAGACAUGUGUUCAUGCUGUUUAUGUUGAUUGGUUGGGCAGAAACAUCCCACUGUGCAUUGUGUUAUGCUGUCCAUGUUCAUUUGUCAAGCAGACACACCAUAGUGUAAAUAGUGCUAAUAGUUUACUUGCUGCCUUUUAGCAUCUGUUGUAAAGCCCAGCUCUAGUCAAACCCACCUAUAUCAAACUUGCAGAGAGACUAAUUACUUCUAUAUAGUGUGUACUUGAGUAUAAAACUUUCACAAAAUAAAUUGGCCUGAAUCUA
rnacentral:misc_RNA from 1 species